UGUCAAAGUAGCAAAAUAAAGAAAAUAAUAAUAAUUUGUUCGUUAAAACUGUGUGAAAUAAUUUAAACAUGAAUUCUGUGGCAUUGUGGGAUCAUUAUUAUAUAAUUCGGACAUUACAUCUCUAGGCGAUAAAAGCGCGCAUUUUUAUAUGUUUUUGACAACAUAGAGAUAGAAAUUGUAAAACUGUCAACAACCUUGAGGUCCCUCGCACAAGGCGGGUAUCAACACUCGGUCGGCCAAGAUAGGCAUUCAGGGCUAGCCCAACAAUCGAUGCAUCUUGGAAGUGUGCGAUCCCAUCGAGAAAAAAAAGCAUAUCGUGUUUCCCUUGACCAUUGAGGAAAAAAUUGAAGCAAAUAGAACCUUUUACGUGACGUCCGAAAUUCCAGGCGUAAUUGGAGCGAUUGAUGGGACGCAUAUCCAGUUGAUGCGACCAUCACGGAAUGAACACUUUUUUUUAAUCGGAAACUAAAACACAGCAUAAAUGCAAUGGUGUGGCAUGAAUUCCACGUAUGGAACCUCUCAGGAGAACGUGAAAGUUUGAGGACGAACUACGAAAAUGGAAAUAGAAGCGAACGAAUUCUUGAAGACUCCGGAUAUCCUCUUGAACCUUGGCUGCUAACACCAUAUAGGAAAGCGCCAGAACGUUCCGAUGAACUCUAUUUCAACCAACAGUUUACAAAAGGCUGAUCACUAAUUGAACGCGUGUUUAGUGUAUUGAAAGGGAGAUUUCGAUGCCUGUUAUCUGCAAAGAGCUACAUUACGCGCCUGAAAAGGUCCUUAAAAUUUUGAACGUAUGCUGCGCUCUACACAAUAUAUGCAUUUUGUACAAGGUUGAAGUACCAAUUAAUAUUACACUUGAGCCAGAAGAAUUUUCCACCACUAAUAUAGAUUUACCUAAUAGUGGUAAUUUUAUUACUA